rnacentral:rRNA from 1 species
GAUGAACGCUGGCGGCGUGCCUAAUACAUGCAAGUCGAGCGAACAGACGAGGAGCUUGCUCCUCUGACGUUAGCGGCGGACGGGUGAGUAACACGUGGAUAACCUACCUAUAAGACUGGGAUAACUUCGGGAAACCGGAGCUAAUACCGGAUAAUAUAUUGAACCGCAUGGUUCAAUAGUGAAAGACGGUUUUGCUGUCACUUAUAGAUGGAUCCGCGCCGCAUUAGCUAGUUGGUAAGGUAACGGCUUACCAAGGCAACGAUGCGUAGCCGACCUGAGAGGGUGAUCGGCCACACUGGAACUGAGACACGGCCCAGACUCCUACGGGAGGCAGCAGUAGGGAAUCUUCCGCAAUGGGCGAAAGCUUGACGGAGCAACGCCGCGUGAGUGAUGAAGGCCUUCGGAUCGUAAACCUCUGUUAUUCGGGAAGAACAAAUGUGUAAGUAACUAUGCACGUCUUGACGGUACCUAAUCAGAAAGCCACGGCUAACUACGUG